CCCCUCGAUGACAAGGAGCUGGUGUCCUACAUACUUGCCAGGCUCGACAUCGACUACAAUCCGUUGGCGUCCAACAUUGUUGGGUGCACAGAACCUGUUUCUCUGAGUGAUAUGUAUGCUCAGAUGAUCAGCUACAACA
rnacentral:snoRNA from 1 species